GCGCCUGCGCACUGGGAGGAUGGGGGGUGGAGCCUCGGGAAGCUCACUCCGUUUGCGUGGGGAGGAGCCUGGCCUCUCCUGUUCCUGUGUGGUGACCUGGGAUUCAGUCUGUGAGGCGGGGAAUUUGCUAGCAGGACUCUCUUGCUCUGCUGAGAGGUUUCACUGUCACCUAAGCUGGAGUGCAGUGGCACAAUCAUGGCUCACUGCAGCCUCAACCUUCUGGGCUCAAGCAAUCCUUCUGUCUCAGUCCCUCAAGUGACUAGGACUACAGGGUCGUACUUCAAAGUCAUACUUCUUACCCUUCUCUAAUUUGAAGAAAGCUUGGGCUAAAGGUUGCACAUCUUCCAUUGGCAACUUAUAAACCAUCAGAGAGGAGUACCUGAGAGAAAAGGAGAGGUAAGAAGAGUGAUACCACCUGUGCCAAAUGUGAACUGAUGGCAGUCAUCUCUCUGGUCUUUUUUUUUCUUUUAAAAAAUGGUGUUAGGAACAUUUAACAUGAGAUCUACCCUGUUAACAAAUUUCGAAGUGAACAAUCCAGUACUGUUGACUAUGAGUAUGUAGGGUCCCCCAGUUUCCUUCACAUUUUUCUCUGUUCUGACCAAAAAUCAGAGGGUCUUGGCUGCUCUGUGAUCUGGCCAACAGAAGGUCUUUCCCAGCUGGUUUGAACCCAAGCUAGGGCCUUGAACAUUCCCAGGAACAGAUAAAGCUAUUCAGAUUGUUGUCCAAAACAACUAACCCCGACCCUGUGCCAAAUUCCUUAAACCUUCAUAAAAACUCCAUAACCUGACCCCUCACUGUAGACAUGCCUAGGUAGAACACCCCUUUUCUCUCACUGUUCAUCUCGAAAAUUGCUGCAGCCCACUCUGUAAGGAAGUUGCCCUGAUAAAUGAUUUGGACUGAUCACCGUGGACUUAGUUCUGUUUUUGGAAUCCCAACCGGCCCCAUCUUGGGACAGUUUGGGGAACUCUCUUGUGGAAACUCCCCUGCCACUGUGUUUGGGGUGAUUCCAGCUGCAGGUUCAGUGGGACAAAAGAGAGUAUAAUGAUGUACAGAAGAUUUCUAGAGCUUAUUCAUCUUGCUUAACUAAAAUUUUACAUCUAUGAUGAGUAACUCCUCAUAUUCUUCUCUCCCCAGCCCCUAGUACUAUUUGAUUAUAUGAAUUUGACUAUUUUAGAUAUCUUAUAAGUAGAAUCAUGCAGAGUUUGUCUUUAUGUGACUGAUUUAGUUCACUCAGCGUAAAGUCCUCAAGGUUCAUCUGUGCUGUCACAUGUUGCAGAAUUUCUUUUCAAGGUCAGAUAGUAUUUCAUUACAUGUACUUAACACAUUUACUUUAUCCAUUUAUCUCUCAGUGAACACUUAGACUGUUUACACAUCUUGGCUAUUAAGAAUAGUGCUGCAAUGAAAAUGUGGGUGCAGGUAUCUCUUUGAGAUCCUGAUUUCAGUUCUUUUGGAUACAUACCCAGAAAUGCAAUUGCUAGGAUGUAAGAUAGUUCUAUUUUUGAUAUUUUGAGAAUCUACCAUAUUGUUUUCCAUAGUGGCUGCACCAUUUUGCAUUUCUACCAAAAGUGUGCAAGCAUUCCAAUUUCUCCACCUCCUUAGCAACAGUUAUUUUUUUGGGGGGAAUAGCCAUCCAUCUUAGUCCAGUUUUUUGUUGCUAUGACACUAUACCACAGACUGGGCAAUUUAUAAUAAAAAUAAUUUAUUUCUUAUUAUUCUGGAGGCUGGGAAGUUACAGAUUGAGGGGAUACAUCUGGUGAGGGUUUUCUUGCUGUGUCAUAGCUUGGCAGAUGGCAUUAUAGGGUGGGAGGGGCACUCAAGAGACAGCCAAACUGGCUUUUAUAACAGACCCACUCCCAAGAUAACUAACUUACUCCCGAGAUAACCCAUCAAUCCUUGAAUAGAUUAAUCCACUCAUGAGGGCAGAGCUUUCAUGACCUAAUAAUCUCUUAAAGGUCCCACCUGGUCCUACCUUUUAAUACCAUCAAAAUGGUAAUUAAAUUCCCACAUGAGUUUUGGAGGGGACACUCAAACGAUAGCACCAUCCUAACAGAUAUGAGGUGAUAUCUUAUUGUGGUUUUGAUUUGCAUUUCCCUGAUGACUAAUGACAUUUAACAGUUUUUCAUAUAUGUGUUCAUUUGCAUAUCUUCUUUGGAGAAAUGUCUAUUCAAGUCCUUAGCACAUUCUUAAUUGGGUUAUUAGUUUUUUUUGCUAUUGGAGUUUAGGAAUUUCCUAUACACAGUCAUGGGCCACAUAAUGAUGUCAUAAUCAAUAAUGGACUACAUAUAUGACAGUGACCCCAUAAGCUUAUAAUGGAGCUGAAAAAUUCUAUUGCUUAGAGACAUCACAGCCAUGAUGACAUUAUAGCAUAACAUAUUACUCAUGUGUUUGUCGGGAUGCUGGUGUAACCAAACUUACUGUGCUGCCAAUCAUAAAAAAGUAUGCAAUUAUCUAUAGUACACAAUACUUGAUAAUGAUAAAUGACUAUGUUACUAGUUUAUGUAUACACUAUACUAUACCAUACUAUACUUUUUAUCAUUAUUUUAGAGUGUACUACUUCUACUUAUAAAAAAGUUAACUGUAAAAAAGCCUCAGGCAGGUCCUUCGGGAGGUGUUUCAGAAGAAGGCAUUGCACAGGGAUCUAGAACUGGAAAUACCAUUUGACCCAGCCAUCCCAUUACUGGGUAUAUACCCAAAGGACUAUAAAUCAUGCUGCUAUAAAGACACAUGCACACGUAUGUUUAUUGCGGCAUUAUUCACAAUAGCAAAGACUUGGAACCAACCCAAAUGUCCAUCUAUGAUAGACUGGAUUAAGAAAAUGUGGCACAUAUACACCAUGGAAUACUAUGCAGCCAUCAAAAAUGAUGAGUUCAUGUCCUUUGUAGGGACGUGGGUGAAAUUGGAAAUCAUCAUUCUCAGUAAACUAUUGCAAGAACAAAAAACCAAACACCGCAUAUUCUCACUCAUAGGUGGGAAUUGAACAAUGAGAUCACAUGGACACAGGAAGGGGAAUAUCACACUCUGGGACUGUUGUGGGGUGGGGGGAGGGGGGAGGGAUAGCAUCGGGAGAUAUACCUAAUGCUAGAUGACGAGUUAGUGGGUGCAGCGCACCACCAUGGCACAUGUAUACAUAUGUAACUAACCUGCACAAUGUGCACAUGUACCCUAAAACUUAAAGUAUAAUU